CACGUCAGCGCGCUUUGCUGACGUGGCAACAAAGCGCGGCUCUAAGGGAGCGAUUUGUUGCCACGUCAGCAAAGCGCGCUGACGUGG
rfam:Gossypium hirsutum cultivar TM-1 chromosome 19, whole genome shotgun sequence